UACGUAGGGGGCGAGCGUUGUCCGGAUUUAUUGGGCGUAAAGCGUCCGCAGGCGGUCAAGUAAGUUCGAGGUGACAGUGCGCGGCUUAACCGCGCAAGGUCCUUGAAAACUGCUCGACUUGAGGGCUUGAGAGGGACCCGGAAUUCCGGGUGGAGUGGUGAAAUGGCGUAGAGAUCCGGAGGAACACCAAAGGCGCAGGCAGGGCCGUGGCAAGCCACUGACGCGUCAUGG
rnacentral:rRNA from 1 species